rnacentral:piRNA from 1 species
UUCCCAUGUCAUGCUUUAAGACCCAGGA